rnacentral:lncRNA from 1 species
UAGAUGACAAUCAUAAAAAAAUAUAAGCAUAUCCAUUAUUCUGGGCUUACAAUAUUUGUUUGGGCUUUUUGUUCCUAUAUAGACGAAUUAUUUGGCCUUUAGGGCUAGUUUGAUAGGGUAUAUUAGGUGUGUUAAUUAGUAUUUCUAUAUAUUUUGGAGUGUUUAAUAGGAUUGUUAAAUAAUAGCCUUGGACCGCAGAAAGACCAAGGCCCGCAGCUAAUAUACUGUUCUUCUUAGAAAAGCCAUCCCACACCUCCCCCAAGUUAAAUUAUACUUACCAUUUUGUACAAUAACAAAUAUUAACUUUUUGUUGACAAAUUUAUCCUCAUCAUCAACCCAACUUCAAAAAUGAAAAAAAGCGAAUACUCUCUCUGUGAAUUAUAUUUGUGUUCUUCGCAAUUGGAAGAACGAAUCUUCUUCUUCUUCGCAACUAGCCAUCAACGACCAGCUACCAUCGUCGCCGCUAUAAACCUCCAUCCCCAACAGAAAAACGUUGUGGCCCACGAAGAAAUCGAGAGCGUCCAUUGAUGACCAAAAAUCAAGAUCCAGAAGUCGACAACUAGAAACGCAAAAUCGAGCCGUCGCCCGUGAAGAAAUGAUUUCUUGUGGCUAAACUGAAGCGGCGAUAACAAUUGAAGCGGCGAUAAUUAGAGAAUUGAUUAAAAAAAUCAUGAAUUGAUUGGAAGANAUUGGUUUGGGAAUAGUUUGUGGGGAUCUUGUUGAGAGAACUGGUUUUUGUGAGUUUGGGAUUGGCAAUUGGAGUUGGAGCCACGGCGGUGAUUUUCUUGUGAAGAAAAAA